rnacentral:tRNA from 1 species
CCCUUCGAGGUGUAGUGGUCAGCACGCUCGACGCGUAACCGAGAGGUCCGUGGUUCGAAUCCUGGCGAAGGCG